AGUGAACGCUGGCGGUAGGCCUAACACAUGCAAGUCGAACGGCAGCACAGUAAGAGCUUGCUCUUACGGGUGGCGAGUGGCGGACGGGUGAGGAAUACAUCGGAAUCUACUUUUUCGUGGGGGAUAACGUAGGGAAACUUACGCUAAUACCGCAUACUACCUACGGAUGAAAUCAGGGGAUCUUCGGACCUUGCGCGACUGAUUUAGCCGAUGUCGGAUUAGCUAGUUGGCGGGGUAAAGGCCCACCAAGGCGACGAUCCGUAGCUGGUCUGAGAGGAUGAUCAGCCACACUGGAACUGAGACACGGUCCAGACUCCUACGGGAGGCAGCAGUGGGGAAUAUUGGACAAUGGGCGAAAGCCUGAUCCAGCCAUACCGCGUGGGUGAAGAAGGCCUUCGGGUUGUAAAGCCCUUUUGUUGGGAAAGAAAAGCAGCAGGUUAAUCCGCCGCUGUUCUGACGGUACCCAAAGAAUAAGCACCGGCUAACUUCGUG
rnacentral:rRNA from 1 species